UACGUAGGGUGCGAGCGUUAUCCGGAAUUAUUGGGCGUAAAGAGCUCGUAGGCGGUUUGUCGCGUCUGCUGUGAAAACCCGAGGCUCAACCUCGGGCCUGCAGUGGGUACGGGCAGACUAGAGUGCGGUAGGGGAGAUUGGAAUUCCUGGUGUAGCGGUGGAAUGCGCAGAUAUCAGGAGGAACACCAAUGGCGAAGGCAGAUCUCUGGGCCGUAACUGACGCUGAGGAGCGAAAGCAUGGGGAGCGAACAGG
rnacentral:rRNA from 1 species